GAGUUUGAUCCUGGCUCAGAUUGAACGCUGGCGGCAGGCCUAACACAUGCAAGUCGAGCGGUAACAGGGAUAGCUUGCUAUCUGCUGACGAGCGGCGGACGGGUGCGUAACACGUAGGAAUCUACCCAGUAGCGGGGGAUAGCCCGGAGAAAUCCGGAUUAAUACCGCAUACGCCCUACGGGGGAAAGCAGGGGAUUCUUUCUUUGGAGAGAACCUUGCACUAUUGGAUGAGCCUGCGUCGGAUUAGCUGUUGGUGGGGUAAAGGCCUACCAAGGCAACGAUCCGUAGCUGGUCUGAGAGGAUGAUCAGCCACACUGGGACUGAGACACGGCCCAGACUCCUACGGGAGGCAGCAGUGGGGAAUAUUGCACAAUGGGCGCAAGCCUGAUGCAGCCAUGCCGCGUGUGUG
rnacentral:rRNA from 1 species